GAAAGGUUGGGGGAGAGAAACAUAGAAUUGAAUCUCAGGACCACAAAUGCAGAACGACACAGGAAAAAGAAAAAGACAUUAAACUAAGACCUAACUCGGUCUCCCCUGAGGAGCAAGCAAAGGAGACCCAGCAGAAAGAGAAGAAGAAGAGCAUCCAUCCAGCUGUGGCGGCCCUGCAGCUGUUCACUCUCUUCUGCUGUGGUGGGAAAGUCAAGCUGAGGAAGACUCGUCCCUCUCAGAACAGACAGAGUAGAAAGGACCAGGACAAAGAUAAUGCAUCUGAUACUGGUUCAGACUUGUCUGGAGGUGAUGUUACAACCCAAAGGGUCAAGGACAAGAGUAAUGGAAAGGUGGGCAGGGAGAAAGACCGGACUGAAGUUCAGCUGUUGAAAUCAUCUCAGGACCACGAACCCGAAAAUCGAAGGACACGCCGGCAAGUGAAGACCCCUGUGGAGGAAAUUUACAUAAGACCUGACUCUCUGACUCUACCACGUGC